rnacentral:rRNA from 1 species
GACGAACCGUGCAAACGUUAUUCGGAAUCACUGGCUUAAAGGGCGCGUAGGCGGGCAGGCAAGUCAGGGGUGAAAGCCCACGGCUCAACCGUGGAAGUGCCUUUGAUACUGCCUUUCUCGAGGGAGGUAGGGCGUGCGGAACUUCCGGUGGAGCGGUGAAAUGCGUAGAUAUCGGAAGGAACAUCCGUGGCGAAGGCGGCACCCUGGACCAGCACUGACACUGAGGCACGAAAGCGUGGGGAGCAACAGG